UACGUAGGGGCUAGCGUUGUCCGGAAUCAUUGGGCGUAAAGGGCGCGUAGGUGGCCCGGUCAGCGUGCGGUGAAAGCUCGGGCUCAACCCGAGUCGCCGUGCGAACUACUGGCUGGAGCACUGUAGAGGCAGCGGAAUGCCCGUGUAGCGGUAAAUGCGUAUAUCGGUAGAACACAAGCGAAAGCAAUAUGCUGGAACACAACUGACGCUCAUGAACGAAAGCGUGGGUAGCGAAAGGG
rnacentral:rRNA from 1 species